rnacentral:misc_RNA from 1 species
GAUGAAGAACGUAGCGAAAUGCGAUAAGUAAUGUGAAUUGCAGAAUUCAGUGAAUCAUCGAAUCUUUGAACGCACCUUGCACUCCUUGGUAUUCCGAGGAGUACGCCUGUUCGAGUGUUAUGAAGCUCUCAAAACGCAAUUGGCUUAAAACCUGAUUGUUGUUUUGGAUUUGAACUUUGCCGUGUUAUAACGGCUGGUUUUAAAAGUAUUAGCUGGUACUAGAACGAAUUGGUUCUACUCAACGUGAUAAUUAUCUGAUCGUUGAGGACAUUCCUUUCACGAGGAAUGGCCAUAGUAAAUUCAAUGGACUGCUUCUAAUCUGGCUUUAAUUCUUUAUUGGAUUAACCACUUUUCAAAUCUGACCUCGAAUCAGGUGGGACUACCCGCUGAACUUAAGCAUAUCAUAAGCGGAGGA